rnacentral:rRNA from 1 species
AUUGAACGCUGGCGGCAUGCUUUACACAUGCAAGUCGAACGGUAACAGGCCUUCGGGUGCUGACGAGUGGCGAACGGGUGAGUAAUGCAUCGGAACGUACCCAGAGGUGGGGGAUAACGCAGCGAAAGCUGUGCUAAUACCGCAUGUGAUCUGAGGAUGAAAGCGGGGGACCGAGCAGCAAUGUUUGGCCUCGCGCCUUUGGAGCGGCCGAUGUCGGAUUAGCUAGUUGGUGGGGUAAAGGCCUACCAAGGCGACGAUCCGUAGCUGGUCUGAGAGGACGACCAGCCACACUGGGACUGAGACACGGCCCAGACUCCUACGGGAGGCAGCAGUGGGGAAUUUUGGACAAUGGGCGCAAGCCUGAUCCAGCAAUGCCGCGUGCGGGAAGAAGGCCUUCGGGUUGUAAACCGCUUUUGGCAGGAACGAAACGGUGUCCGCUAAUACCGGACGCUAAUGACGGUACCUGCAGAAUAAGCACCGGCUAACUACGUG